UCAAAAUGCCGAAAGCAAAACAACAAGCAGGCCAAACCAGGAGAAAACUGUUGAUUUCAGAUUCUCCAAUUUCCAAGCUAGACAUAAACUACGGAUUGCAGAGCGUGCUGCAAAAGCAGAAGCAAUUGCAUCUGGAUGUUCUGAUUCCCCAGAAAGAUUAUAGUAUGAGUUAUGAAGACAUUCUUCAGCUUAAACCAACUUACUUGUUGGUGAUAUAUGCAUAUUAGUAUCUAUGCAUGUGCAUUUAAAUUUUUUGCGGCUGUAUAUUAGCAUUUCUGUUACUUCUGAAAGUUGUAUGCUGGAUAGGGAGUUGAAAUUGGUACUUGGCUGGCAUUGUCUGAUAUUCUAAUAGGAUUUGAUUUUAUUUGCUUGGUUAA